rnacentral:rRNA from 1 species
UACAGAGGUCCCAAGCGUUGUUCGGAUUCACUGGGCGUAAAGGGUGCGUAGGCGGUCGGGUAAGUCUGAUGUGAAAUCUCACAGCUUAACUGUGAAACUGCAUUGGAUACUAUCCGGCUCGAGGAAUGGAGGGGAGACUGGAAUACUUGGUGUAGCAGUGAAAUGCGUAGAUAUCAAGUGGAACACCAGUGGCGAAGGCGUGUCCCUGGACAACUUCUGACGCUGAGGCACGAAAGCUAGGGGAGCAAACAGG